UACAGAGGGGGCAAGCGUUGUUCGGAAUUACUGGGCGUAAAGGGCGCGUAGGCGGCCUGUUAAGUCGGACGUGAAAUCCCUCGCGCACCACGGGGAACUGCGUCCGAUACUGGCGGGCUUGAAUUCGGGAGAGGGAUGUGGAAUUCCAGGUGUAGCGGUGAAAUGCGUAGAUAUCUGGAGGAACACCGGUGGCGAAGGCGGCAUCCUGGACCGACAUUGACGCUGAGGCGCGAAAGCCAGGGGAGCAAACGGG
rnacentral:rRNA from 1 species